GCCAGGUGCAGUGGCGCAUACCUGUAGCCCCAGCUACUCGGGAGGCUGAGGUGGGAGGAUCACUUGAGUCCAGGAGUUCUGGACUGUAGUGUGCUAUGCCAAUCAGGUGUCCGCACUAAGUUUGGCAUUAAUACGAUGACCCCCUGGGAGUGGGGGACCACCAGGUUGCCUAAGGAGGGGUCAACCGGCCUAGGUCCACGGAACAGGUUAAAACUCCAGUGCUGAUCAGUACUAGAAUUGCGCCUGUGAAUAGCCACUGCACUCCAGCCUGGGUAACAUAGUGAGACCCUGUAUCUA
ensembl:misc_RNA Metazoa_SRP Metazoan signal recognition particle RNA